ACUAGGUGUUUGGUUGUAGAAAAAGUGCUCCAUGCUUCUAACCACGUCUGACAAACCUGUUGCUUGCAUAUGUCUAAGAAAAGUUCGCUAGGAGAUUUCACUGCUAAUUACAGGUUUAUGAUGAACUUCUAAAAUGAAAAUGUAACGUUGAAUAAUUGAUUUAUUCACCACUGUUUUUUUUUAUUCCCCAAGGUCUUCAUGGUGAAACAGAGAAAAGAAAAGGAAAAAACAGGUUUGUGUUUUUCUAUUAUCAGGUGGUCUGUAACUUUUUUUAAUGUGCUAAAGAUUGUCAAAAUUGUGUUUAAAUAUUCAGUAGCUAGCAUGUUAACUGUGCUAUUGUAUGUUUAUCAGUUUAUUAAUUUGAAGGUUAUUAAAUGAAGUACAUUUAUUUUUAGAAAAAAAAAACCUUAUAAAAAAAUAGAUUUUUUUUUUUAACAAAACCACACUUGUCACAAUUAUUGGUACUCUUAGAAAUACUUAUGAACAAAAUGUAGCAUGUUCCCAUUUCUAUUUUAGCUUUUAAGGUUUACCUGAGUGUUUAGGAACUGUUAAGUGAUCAUCCAUGACUUCCUGAUGUCAGGUUAAUGCCGAUAGCCAUGUGGGACUACAGCAUAAACUAAGUCACUAGAUCAUGAACACCUGAACCACAUUUAUGCACAAUGAGCGCCAGUAUUUAAGUCACAUUUGUAUAGCACUCCUUGUCUAGUGUCUGUUGUGAGUAGUGUUGUUGUAUGUUGUCGUAUCCAUGCCAUGUUCCUCUCAUGGGGGCAGUCGCAGCCUAAUGGAUAGAGAGUCGGACUUGCAACCUGAAGGUGAACCUGAAGGUUGUGGGUUCGAGUCUCAGGUCCGGCAGGGAUUGUAGGUGGGGGGAGUGAAUGACCCGCGCUCUCUCCCACCCUCAAUACCACGACUGAGGUGAGACCCUUGAGCAAGGCACUGAACCCCCAACUGCUCCCUGGGCACCGCAGCAAAAGAGGCUGCCCACUGCUCCGGGUGUGUGUUCACGGUGUGUGUGUUUGUGUGUUCACUGCUGUGUGUGUGUGCACUUGGAUGGGUUAAAUGCAGAGCACAAAUUCCAAGUAUGGGUCACCAUACUUGGCCACAAGUCACUUCACUUCAUGCUUGUUUGGUUUGUGUUUAGUCCUAGUCUUUUUUCACAUGUCUCAUGUGAAAUACUUUUAAUGAAAUACUCUGCAUUUGCAUCUGUCUCUGACUAAUCUGUGACACCUGACACAGAAGCUAAUUUUCCUUAGUCAUUUAUCAGGGAGAUUAAUACACAAAAGAAAUGAGACAAAAGUGUGCUGAGAUUCAUUGUUCAAACUAUUUUGAAGAUGUGGCAGAAGAAAAGCCUUUUCUAAACACAAACGUAAGUGCCUGGAGUGUACUAGAUACUAACUGAACUCUGACAGGAACCAGGUUCUAUGGUUGGAGGAGACAAAAAUAGACAUUUUUGGCAUCAAGCACUCAAAGAAAGUGAUAUAGAAAAGAACCAAAUUCCCACUGUUAAGUAUGGUGGAGGAUCUGUGAUGAUGUGGGACUGCUGUUCCAAUGCUUCUGAGAACAUUGUUAGGACACAUGGCAUCAUGCACUCCAUGAAAUACCAUGAGAUUUUAAGUGAAAAUCUGGAUAUUUUAAAUUGAAAAUGUACAACUGGGUUGUGCUUGGAUCUUCCAGCAGGAUAGCGAUACAAAACAACUUCCAAAUCCACAUUAAAAAUGACCUAAACCCCAUUGAAAACCUGUGGGAUGAGCUGAAGAGGAGAGUCCACGAGAGAGGACCAAGGACUCUACAGCAUGCUGAGAGCAUUGAGGCUUUGUCUCAGAUUCCAGUCUCAUCAAGUGUUAUAGGAAAAGACUCACUGCUAUAAUGUUGGCAGAGGGAGGUUUUACAAAGUACCAAAUACAGUGGUGCCAAUAAUUGUGACAUAUAUGAUUGUGUGUUUUUUUUAAAUCUCAUUUUUAAUUAGGUUUUCCUUAAUAUUUUCAGUGUAAGAUAAAGUCAGAUAAUUCUGAUGCUGACUAUAGUUUAUGUAAUAAUGCAGCAUGUUUAAGGUCUACAGGAAGAGAUACAGGAAGUUCAGUUGCAAUUGCAGGUAUGGGUGUUACUAUGUAUAUUUCCUCAGAACCAGAAGGCAUGCUGAAAAGAUCAUUACAGUUUGAAAAUGAAGUCCAUCUGGAGCAGUGAGGUUUCUGGUAGCUGGAAAAAAGUCUAAAACCAAAAAAAUUAAAUAAAUAAAUGAAUAGUGUUUAGUGAAAACAUAGCUGGAAGUGGGGGGUGAUGAAACAUCAGAAACAUCUGUAGGUAGCUAUAAACUGUGACUUUUGGAUGGCCUUGACUAUCCAAAAGACAAAAAGUCAAAAUUUACUUAAAACGGUUAAAUCUACUUAAUAUACUAAUUGUAUGUAUAUUAUGUUAUAUGAAUGUUAUUAUGGACCUGCUUGAUCUAUCCUGAUGCCCUACUUCUGGUUGGAUUUCUCAUCAUUUGGAAACCAUUUGCUGCUGCUGAGGAUGGCCCCACACGGACAGCCUAAAGUGACGUGGCAGUGGUGAGCUUUGUGGGCCCAAUCAUAUAACAAAGGACAGAUCCUGUAAGAAGCUUGCAUGUUAAAUCAUGAACUAAAUAAAAGAAAUGCCCAAGAUUUGCUUGUGUUUCCUUUUUUGACUUGUUCACCUGUCAGAUUUAAUACAGACACAAAAUGAUAAUAAUGGUAUGAUUAUUUAUCUAUCACUGAUAUAAUCUUAUUCAUUCACUACUAGAUACAGUAUAAAUCCUACAUGUUGUCUGCUUAGCCUUUGACUUGAGCACCAACAAGAUUAACCUGGGAUAAAGGAAAUAUUUUAGCACAUCCUUACUGAAAGGCAGGUGAGCGAAUGAUGUCUAGCUUCAGUCUACAAGACGAUUGCUCACAAUUUUUACCCAUAAAUUCCAAGUUUCCCUGGAUUAAUAUGUGGAAUCAUUUCCAUUUCCCUGAUAUUACAUUCAUCUCCUUUGGCACAGCCUCUCUUCAUCUUUGAGUUUGUCAAGGCUAUGUCCUGUCCUCUAAUUAUCUUUUGGCAGAUAAUUACAACUGAUUAAUUAUUGUUGAAGGCUUAUUAGGAGAAGCUGUUUUUGAAAGGGUUUUUUUUUUUAUUUU